rnacentral:rRNA from 1 species
CCCUUAGAUGUUCUGGGCCGCACACGCGCUACACUGAAGGAGGCAGCGUGUACUCCUGGAUCGAAAGAUUUGGGUAACCCGCGAAUCUCCUUCGUGCUAGGGAUUGAGGUUUGCAAUUAUCCUUCAUGAACGAGGAAUUCCCAGUAAGUGCAAGUCAUAAGCUUGCGCUGACUACGUCCCUGCCCUUUGUACACACCGCCCGUCGCUACUACCGAUUGAAUGAUUUAGUGAGGACUUCGGACUGGGACCAAUGCGGCUUUCGGGCUGCGUCGGUAUUCUGGAAAGAUGUCCAAACUGUNUNAUUUAGNGGAAGUAAAANUCGUANCA